GGCGAACGCUGGCGGCGUGCUUAACACAUGCAAGUCGAACGGAAAGGCCCUGCUUUUGUGGGGUGCUCGAGUGGCGAACGGGUGAGUAACACGUGAGUAACCUGCCCUUGACUUUGGGAUAACUUCAGGAAACUGGGGCUAAUACCGGAUAGGAGCUCCUGCUGCAUGGUGGGGGUUGGAAAGUUUCGGCGGUUGGGGAUGGACUCGCGGCUUAUCAGCUUGUUGGUGAGGUAGUGGCUUACCAAGGCUUUGACGGGUAGCCGGCCUGAGAGGGUGACCGGCCACAUUGGGACUGAGAUACGGCCCAGACUCCUACGGGAGGCAGCAGUGGGGAAUAUUGCACAAUGGGCGGAAGCCUGAUGCAGCAACGCCGCGUGCGGGAUGACGGCCUUCGGGUUGUAAACCGCUUUCGCCUGUGACGAAGCGUGAGUGACGGUAAUGGGUAAAGAAGCACCGGCUAACUACGUG
rnacentral:rRNA from 1 species